AUGGCAGCAUCUUUGUCCUUCUCUUUCCCAGGUCAGCUUUCAUAUAUCGAUGAUUCUAGUCUGACUCAUAUUCCUUCUUACGAUCAACUUCCCCAUUCCCGCACUUUCUAUUUGAUUUGUGUGUAUUUGUUCGGUGUUUUUGCUUCCUCCCUGCCUGGCAAGGCAGCAGGCAGCGGGCUGCAGCAUGGUGAUGUGCUGCCAGAAAAAGCGGAGAUGCUCUUGACCAGCAGGUGCCAGGCCUCACGCAGCUCCAGCCGUGCCGUGCUGCAGAAGGAGCUGAGGGGGGCAGAAGGACAGGGGCUGAGCCAUGCCGAGCUGCCACACGAGAGCGGGCUCUUCGCGGCCCGGCAGGCGCAGCCCAGGCCAACGCUGCGCUGCGGGCAGGGGGCAGGGGGCCCGCACCGGGAUGCCGGCCUCGUGCCCAGGGCAGAGAAAAAGCCGCCGCAGAGCGCUGGGGGCAGGGCAGCGGCGCCCCGCGCCACCACGCGGUGCUGGGAGCGGGCUGUGCCGGGAUGCCUGAGGGGCCCCUCAGCGCUCUGCAAGCGAGCUGGGGAGCUUCAGCGGGGGGUGCCGAUUCCCAACCCUUGGGCGAAAGCAGAGCGUCGUGAAGGGGCCCGGGGCGCUGCCUCUCCCACACCCGGUGUCCCGGGCGCGGCGGGCUCGGGUGCCGGCAGCCCCUCCCGACCGCGGUGCGCUCAGGGUGUGCCGGGCCAGCCCCUGCAGCGCUCGGGCGGGGCACGGGCCCCAGGCGCGGCCCCGGCAGGACCUACCUUCCACCACGCCGCAGAGGAAGCGCGGCCGCCCCGCCAUGACCGGGCAGGAACGGCCCUGCUGGCGCUGGGGCGGGCGGAGGGCCGCAGGGAGGGGUGCGGGCAAGGAUGGAGGGGCGCGGGCAAGGAUGGAGGGAGGGAUGCAGAGGCGCUCCGAGGGAUGGAGGGGUGCACGGAGGCGCCGCGCCACCGCCCGUCNNNNNNNNNNNNNNNNNNNNAUAGUUACAAGCAUAAACAAAGACAGGCAAAAUCACUAUUUAUUGAAAAUAUCUUGAAACAAAAAAGCUAA
rnacentral:lncRNA from 1 species